AUUGAACGCUAGCGGGAUGCUUUACACAUGCAAGUCGAACGAGUGGCGGACGGGUGAGUAAUAUAUCGGAACGUGCCCAGUAGCGGGGGAUAACUACUGGAAACGGUAGCUAAUACCGCAUACUAUCGGAUGAACCCAUAUGGGAUUAGCUAGUAGGUAAGGUAACGGCUUACCUAGGCGACGAUCCCUAGCUGGUCUGAGAGGAUGAUCAGCCACACUGGAACUGAGACACGGCCCAGACUCCUACGGGAGGCAGCAGGGGGGAAUAUUGCACAAUGGGCGCAAGCCUGAGGCAGCCAGGCCGCGUGUAUGAAGAAGGCCUUCGGGUUGUAAAGUACUUUCAGUCGGGAGGCGUUACCGACAGAAGAAGCACCGGCUAACUCCGUGCCAGCCGCCGCGGUAAUAC
rnacentral:rRNA from 1 species